ACGGAGAAGGCUAGGCCAGCUUGGCGUUGGUUGUCCAAGUUUAAGGUGGUAGGCUGAAAUCUUAGGUAAAUCCGGGGUUUCAAGGCCGAGAGCUGAUGACGAGUCGUCUUUUAGAUGACGAAGUGGUUGAUGCCAUGCUUCCAAGAAAAGCUUCUAAGCUUCAGGUAACCAGGAACCGUACCCCAAACCGACACAGGUGGUCGGGUAGAGAAUACCAAGGCGCUUGAGAGAACUCGGGUGAAGGAACUAGGCAAAAUGGCACCGUAACUUCGGGAGAAGGUGCGCCGGCUAGGGUGAAGGAUUUACUCCGUAAGCUCUGGCUGGUCGAAGAUACCAGGCCGCUGCGACUGUUUAUUAAAAACACAGCACUCUGCAAACACGAAAGUGGACGUAUAGGGUGUGACGCCUCCCCGGUGCCGGAAGGUUAAUUGAUGGGGUUAGCGCAAGCGAAGCUCUUGAUCGAAGCCCCGGUAAACGGCGGCCGUAACUAUAACGGUCCUAAGGUAGCGAAAUUCCUUGUCGGGUAAGUUCCGACCUGCACGAAUGGCGUAACGAUGGCGGCGCUGUCUCCACCCGAGACUCAGUGAAAUUGAAAUCGCUGUGAAGAUGCAGUGUAUCCGCGGCUAGACGGAAAGACCCCGUGAACCUUUACUGUAGCUUUGCACUGGACUUUGAGCCUGCUUGUGUAGGACAGGUGGGAGGCUUUGAAGCGUGGACGCCAGUUCGCGUGGAGCCAUCCUUGAAAUACCACCCUGGCAUGCUUGAGGUUCUAACUCUGGUCCGUAAUCCGGAUCGAGGACAGUGUAUGGUGGGCAGUUUGACUGGGGCGGUCUCCUCCUAAAGAGUAACGGAGGAGUACGAAGGUGCGCUCAGACCGGUCGGAAAUCGGUCGCAGAGUAUAAAGGCAAAAGCGCGCUUGACUGCGAGACAGACACGUCGAGCAGGUACGAAAGUAGGUCUUAGUGAUCCGGUGGUUCUGUAUGGAAGGGCCAUCGCUCAACGGAUAAAAGGUACUCCGGGGAUAACAGGCUGAUACCGCCCAAGAGUUCAUAUCGACGGCGGUGUUUGGCACCUCGAUGUCGGCUCAUCACAUCCUGGGGCUGAAGCCGGUCCCAAGGGUAUGGCUGUUCGCCAUUUAAAGUGGUACGCGAGCUGGGUUUAGAACGUCGUGAGACAGUUCGGUCCCUAUCUGCCGUGGACGUUUGAGAUUUGAGAGGGGCUGCUCCUAGUACGAGAGGACCGGAGUGGACGAACCUCUGGUGUUCCGGUUGUCACGCCAGUGGCAUUGCCGGGUAGCUAUGUUCGGAAAAGAUAACCGCUGAAAGCAUCUAAGCGGGAAACUUGCCUCAAGAUGAGAUCUCACUGGGAACUUGAUUCCCCUGAAGGGCCGUCGAAGACUACGACGUUGAUAGGCUGGGUGUGUAAGCGUUGUGAGGCGUUGAGCUAACCAGUACUAAUUGCCCGUGAGGCUUGACC
rnacentral:rRNA from 1 species